CUCCUCGUAGCUUAAUGAUAGACUACUGGUCCGUAAAACCAGGGGCCAGGGUUCGAUUCCCGGCGAGGAAG
rnacentral:tRNA from 1 species